rnacentral:rRNA from 1 species
GAUGAACGCUGGCGGCGUGCCUAAUACAUGCAAGUCGAGCGAACAGACGAGGAGCUUGCUCCUUUGACGUUAGCGGCGGACGGGUGAGUAACACGUAGGUAACCUACCUAUAAGACUGGGAUAACUUCGGGAAACCGGAGCUAAUACCGGAUAAUACUUCGAACCGCAUGGUUCGAUAGUGAAAGAUGGCUUUGCUAUCACUUAUAGAUGGACCUGCGCCGUAUUAGCUAGUUGGUAAGGUAACGGCUUACCAAGGCAACGAUACGUAGCCGACCUGAGAGGGUGAUCGGCCACACUGGAACUGAGACACGGUCCAGACUCCUACGGGAGGCAGCAGUAGGGAAUCUUCCGCAAUGGGCGAAAGCCUGACGGAGCAACGCCGCGUGAGUGAUGAAGGUCUUCGGAUCGUAAAGCUCUGUUAUUAGGGAAGAACAAACGUGUAAGUAACUGUGCACGUCUUGACGGUACCUAAUCAGAAAGCCACGGCUAACUACGUG